rnacentral:lncRNA from 1 species
CGGGGGUCUCUUCGAAGGGAGGGCAGCCCUGCCUGCCAUCAGCCUCUGGGGACCGGCUCCUGAUUGUCACGGAGCGGGCCUUCAGGGCGGGCAGCACUCACACCCUAACCCUACUGCCCUUGAGCCUAGCACUGCACCAUGAGUCAGUCCCAGUGUCACACACCCUAGACGCAGCCACCUCUGGAAGGGCCCCACCUGUGGCCACACGGAGGCUUUGGGGCACAUCUGGACACAGCCACAACAGAGAAAACCAGAAAAGAGACUGUCUGCCUGGCUCAAGCAUAUCAACGAUUAAGUACAAGCCACCAACAUCCUUCUGCUUUUUGAUGCUUAGAAGAGUUUUUUAAGGAUUGGAAUGAAUAUAUCCAGUGUUUCCC